rnacentral:rRNA from 1 species
AAAGCGUGGGUAUCAAACAGGAUUAGAUACCCUGGUAGUCCACGCAGUAAACGAUGAUUACUAGGAGUUUGCGAUAUAGUGUAAGCUCUACAGCGAAAGCGUUAAGUAAUCCACCUGGGGAGUACGCCGGCAACGGUGAAACUCAAAGGAAUUGACGGGGGCCCGCACAAGCGGAGGAACAUGUGGUUUAAUUCGAUGAUACGCGAGGAACCUUACCCGGGAUUGAAAUGCAGACGACGGAGAGUGAGAGCUUUCUUCCCUUCGGGGCGUCUAUGUAGGUGCUGCAUGGUUGUCGUCAGCUCGUGCCGUGAGGUGUCGGCUUAAGUGCCAUAACGAGCGCAACCCUGACUGUCAGUUGCUAACAGGUAAAGCUGAGGACUCUGGCGGGACUGCCGGCGUAAGCUGUGAGGAAGGUUGGGAUGACGUCAAAUCAGCACGGCCCUUACAUCCGGGGCGACACACGUGUUACAAUGGCAGGGACAAAGGGCAGCUACCGGGCGACCGGAUGCCAAUCUCCAAACCCUGUCUCAGUUCGGAUCGGAGUCUGCAACUCGACUCCGUGAAGCUGGAUUCGCUAGUAAUCGCGCAUCAGCCAUGGCGCGGUGAAUACGUUCCCGGGCCUUGUACACUCCGCCCGUCAAGCCAUGGGAGCCGGGGGUACCUGAAGUCCGUAACCGCGAGGAUCGGCCUAGGGAAAGCUGGGAAAAAAAAAAAAAUUGG